CAGCCGCCGCGGUAAUACGUAGGGUGCGAGCGUUAAUCGGAAUUGCUGGGCGUAAAGCGUGCGCAGGCGGUUCGUUAAGACAGAUGUGAAAUCCCCGGGCUUAACCUGGGAACUGCAUUUGUGACUGGCGAGCUAGAGUAUGGCAGAGGGGGGUAGAAUUCCACGUGUAGCAGUGAAAUGCGUAGAGAUGUGGAGGAAUACCGAUGGCGAAGGCAGCCCCCUGGGCCAAUACUGACGCUCAUGCACGAAAGCGUGGGGAGCAAACAGGAUUAGAUACCCCGGUAGUCCCUGUCUCUUAUAA
rnacentral:rRNA from 1 species